rnacentral:misc_RNA from 2 species
CUGAGGUCAUCGCUUCUUCGGAGGUGUUACCCGUCCUUAUGUCAUACGCACGGGCCGCGGGCACAUGAGCCCCCUCCGCAAGGGGGGAGCGCGUGGAGAAGCGGCACGAGACAGCAUUUCCGCCGAGGUGGCGCGACUCUUGAGCGAUCGAGGGACGCGUCCGCGGCGGGCCCAAAUCUUACAACUCUUGCGAGAACAUGAAGUCUGAAUACCAAAACAAAAUGAAAAGCA